CUUCAAUCCAGAAUGAUUGCUAAAGCUAUUCCAGCACCUAGGGUCAAAUAAAAAUAUCCCGAGGUGGGAAGGAAAACAUUUGUUUAGGGAAACAUUAAAAACAGGAGAGUGUGUGCCUUGGAGCCAGAGCUCGGAGCCCUGCUGAUGUCCCGGGGCAGAAAUAGCCCGUUUCAUCAUCGGCUCUGGACGACCGCCGCCCGCAUUCCUCGAUUACAGCGGGUAUCCUGAUGCAGACCAUCCCCAGCCGGAAACACAGCAGCAGGACUGAGCCCAAGCUCCAGACCAAAAACACUCAGGGUCUGCAUGGCCCAGAGCUGGCAUCUGUCCGGGGAACUGGCCCAGGCAAGGUGACCACUGUCAUCCAGUCCAGGAGCUGUGAGCUGCAUGGAAAGAAUGUGAAUGAAGACACAACUCUAAAUGUGGAACCAUGGACGCUAUGUGAGCCAGUGUGCUCCCUAGCCGUCCAGAAAAACAAGGCCCACUUGUACAUUCUGCAAGAGCAUAAAUAAAGCUGUCCUCAGGCAG
rnacentral:antisense_RNA from 1 species